UCCUCUCCCUCAGCAGAGUCAGAAGUGACGGAGAGGCCCACCAUCCCUGUGCUGGUGACCUUGCGGGCCAAGUGCAAUGCAGGAACCAUCACACCUGCAGUGAGGGAGCUGCAGGUUGGCUGCAUCCGCUCCUCACAGCCCAGUAAAAAGGGUGGUGAGUUUCUCUGGGAUAAUGUUGCGUCCCUGCAGCAGCAGGGCUUUAGUGUGGAGCCUGGCAAAGGCACUGUGGAGGCCGGCCACAAACGCACCAUCACUGUCAAAUGGACCCCCUAUAGCGGAUACAAGCCCUACGACGUGGUGCAGACAUGUGUGCCUGUUACCUUGAAAGGGGAUGAGACGAAUGUUUACAGAGUCACCCUGAUUGCUUUGGUCUCCACCACUGCUGACUGACCUCCGCUGUACCUGGACACCGGCCAGCUGGAAAUUUGCUCACACACACACACACACACGACAAUCACUGACAGAGUAAACAAAGACGUCACGUGUACUGUACAUGUACGUGGGCAACAUUAAAAAAAUGAAUGGACUAUUUAUUACUUGAAUUUAAUUAUUAAAGGUGGAAUUAAUUAAGUUUUGUACAAGGAUCUGAUUUGAUUCUGUGAGACAGUCAUUGUAUGGCCUACAGGUUAUGAUGGUCUAAUAUCACACAGCACCAAAGUCAUUUGAAAUACAUGAGGGUAAAUGGCUAGCAUUAUAAUAAAACUAUAGAGUAGUAAACACUUUUUUUCCUUUUUGGACUCCAACACAAAUUCAUGAGUUAUAGAUAUGUGGCAAAGUAACAAAGACCCCCAAAAAGCUAAACAGUUACUUGUGUUGCUUCUAAGGAGAGGAAGAGGAACGAUAAAGGUGCUCAUGAAGACAGUCUAAAGAUAACUUUAAAUGACCAUACAAGACUAACAAAACCCUUUAUUCUCGAUUAAAGCCAGGAGACAGAAUACCAUCCCUGUGCAGCACAUUCACUGAACGUCACCUGACUGUAGCACCUGCUUACACCACCAGGGGGUGUAUUUGAUACCGAGCAGGCAGCUGUGUUAUAUCAUGGUUAAGGGUGUGUCAGCUGAUGUAAGCCAGCAGAUGUAUACAGUACAUACUGUAGCACUGCUGGCACUGUAUCCACUGAGUGAAAGGAGUUCACACAGAGGCCAAACAAGAGGCAGUUCAUGAAAUGUGACACAGAAUGGAAAGAUCUCAAUACAGAUCAUUUAUACAAAACACUUGUGUGAAAUGAUAGCCUAUUGAUCCGGCACAGACUGACAAAUUGGUCUACUACAUCAAUAUUUAUAGUCGUGAUUGGAUAUGUGGCCUUAAGUGCUAUUACAGUAAUGAGGUGGUAUCAUAUAGCAACAAUGAUCUUAGUAAUGAGCGUAGGAUGAUUAGUACCAUUUUUGCAUUGCCUGUAUAUUAGCUAUUGGCGGCUUCAGCUUUGAGAAACUCAGAGGUGACUGGUCUAAUUGUGGCACUCUGGAUAUCCACCAAAGGGUACUUGCGUUGUGAAGCCAUGUUAAUUUUAGACAAAUGUCAAAUUUACACCUCACAUAUCUUUUAAGUGAGGCUUAAAUGGAUGUCAGAAUCGACAGAAUUGGAUCACAGAGUGUCAUUCCACUUCUCUUUAAGUUGCCUAUUUUUAUCUUUGCAAUACAGCACGUUAUGAAAGCAUUUUUAGAAAUCCUGAAUUGGAUGACGUAAUUCUCAAAUACCCCUGAAAAUGCCCCACAACUUUGCUCUCAUGUGGUGGUGGUUUUAAUGAGGAUCAACAUGAAUUUCACGUGAUUUUAAACAUUAUGGCGAUCACUCAGCCUGUCCUCAGGUUAUUAAUUCCAUCCACAAGGCCUGUGGACUGGGCCCGGUUCUGCACUAGACUGUUGCACUUACAAGCAGCUGCCACUAGGAGCCCUUAAUGUCCCCACUGGCCCUCAAGUGAUGGAAUCCUGAAUUUUUGUGGAUUUAAUGUGGUGUAGCGUGUUGUGGUGAAGGCGUCUUUCCAUCGUGAGUGAUGGAAUGAUGACUGGUUGAUGACGGUUACUAUAACGUGUUACCUCGGAACGUAUAAUGAAUGUGUCAUUCUAAUAGGACUGAAGAAGAACUUGUUUUCUAACUAGUUCGAUUAAUCUUGUUUCCAUCAGAGGCGCAUCCAUAUAAACCACUGCAGGCGCAACACAACAAUAAUCUGCAAAGAAGGUUAGAAAAUACCUGCUCUCCCGUUCCCAAUUCUUCACUUAUUCAGAAAGGACCUGACAUAAAGUCGACUCUUACAGUAAGUAAAAGGAUUGUUCCUAAUGGAUAAAAAGUGUUUACAAGAUCCAUUUUUUUAAUGACCACAAGCACAUAUCAUAUACAUUACAAAUAUCUUUCAAAAAUACUUCUCAGACUACAAUGUUUCUCAAAAAUAAGGGAUUGAACUCCACUUGUGAUUACAGAACAGCUCAAUAUUGUUUGCUCAUUUUAAAAAGAGAUUCUCCUCUCUCAAUACCAUCUGAGUAACACUUAUUCUCAAAAAACAGAAAUGAUGUGGACGUAAGUUAAAGGAGAUCAGUGUGAAAUAUCCAACACCCUGUACAUCAACUGAAAGGAGCUAGUUUAUCUUACAUAAAUUAGGUGUUCUUUAUGUUCUAUUCUCUUGUGUUUUUUUAAAUGUUAAAUUCAAGAUGUGUGAUCGCCAACUGUGUGCCCCUCCACUGUAUGUGGACUGUAAGUGUCAUCAACAUAAGAGGACAGUAGGAAAACGUAUCAGUCUUUAAAUAAUGUGAUAUUAAGAUUAGUCC
rnacentral:lncRNA from 1 species